rnacentral:sRNA from 10 species
UUACUUGUGAGGAGAAACGCUCACGGGGUGGAAACAAGGACACACCCCCGCAGAGUUUUCGAAG